UGUGGAAAAAAAAUCAGCUUGAUAUUUCGCAAACAUUAGUGAUAAAAGCUCUUAGGAGCACUGGAUCUAAAUGAUGGAUUUAGUCUUUUCAGUCCUCACAGAAAGAAUUUUAUUCAGCUAUAAUUCUGUAACUUAUUCUUAAAUGACUGCACUGUGAUUAAAGUCUCGCUCUCAGCAAACCUCUGUGGAAAACAAAAAUUAAUCAAACAAAUAAGUGCUCUACAGAACAGCUUACUACAUUAUAUAGUAAAAUACUGGACUGCAGUGAUAUUGAUGCUAUCUCUUACUGCUUAAACAAAUCAACAGCAGGUUUAAGUCAUAAUAAAAAGUGCCCAUUAUUCAUUAGUAAUGUGAACAGACUUGCAGAUAAGGGCUGAAAACAUUUACAAGCCCUUCCUUAGCAGAUGAAAAGGUUUUAGGAAUCUGAGUGACACUUGCACCAGACCUUCAUGGAAAUCACAGCUGUGAUUUUCCCUUGCUGGAAGGGAGCACUGCUUCUAGCAAAGCAUGGCGAAGGCAGGAUGUGGAGCCAAGACAUGGACAAUAAGGAAAUGUUCUGGCCCAAGAAAGAGGUUAAUUUGUAUUGCCCAAAUAUAUAUUUUCUCUUUCUCCUUCUAAAGAAAAGUUGGGGCGAUUUAGAUGCAUGAAUUUAAGGAACCCAGGGGCAACUUUAAUUUCUGAGACUGUCACACAGCACAUUACCCCAGGAUAUACUGAUCUUGGCAAUAUGACGGGGGCUUUGUUUUCACAUGGGUGAACAUGUUGAUAUACAGUUUCCCAGCAGAGCAGGAAGCGCACAGACUCUUUGCAGCAUUAGGUGAGAGCGGAUGCCAGAUCCACCUUGGGCAGAGCUGCAGUGUAAGAUCCACUGGAGGAGAUGCCGUGCUCCCUCCCUCCCUGCCACUGGCAGCUCACCUGAGCCCAGGGCAGCAGCACAGCGUCUCCAAAAGUGACAUCUCAGCAUGACAAAAGACACUUAGGCACCCCUUAGUGCUGGGGAGAUUCCUACCUAUUACAGGGGGUCAGAGGGUGGGCAGGGCUCUGCCGCCUGCCAUACAGCAGAGCUGAACCAGACCUACCCUUUGAGACUGACUGAGUAACAGGAAUAUUCACACCCACAUGUGCAAUCUCCACCCAAUACUCCUCCAGCCAAACCUUUACCAGAGGCCGUGGCACUGUAAGCACUAAAGCCAAAUUACCAUGUAGGCUACUAACAAUACUCCAGCACAUAAAUAAAAAUCAGAACUGGGUGUGAAAUUUGUACCAUUAAGUGAACUAACUGAUCCAACAUUUAUUUUACAGGCGGGAAAAGUGGUUGCAUGAUUUGCUCCUCUGAAAAAUGCCAGCAAGGGGAAGCCUCCUGCACUGCUCUGUGUGACAGCCCUGCCAUGGUGCCGCUUCCGCUGCUCCAUCGCGUGGGGCCACCACGCUGCCAAGUGAACCUGACCAUCCACUAAACCCAGCGAACAUAGGAAUGACUCUGCCACCAACAACUCCGGGGACUCAGUUAAAAACUUGUUCACUCAACUUAGGCAAGCAGGCAAGAUGAGGACAAGAGGCAGCCCAGCUACAGGAAAGGAGGCUUCUUCCAUUUAACUGAACUGAGAAACAGAGGAUUGAUGGGAAAAAUUCAGAGAGAGAUGUGACUUCAAAACCUUGCUCAAAACUUUAAAAAAUCAAUUUGGUUGUAAGACAAAACAAGCACCAGGGUGCCCUUGGCUUGCCUCAGUCCAAAGCAAUGGAAGGCUGCAUGUUAACAUAGGGCUUCUCUUUCCUGAGCCAGCUGUCUGCAAGCACACCAUCCAGGUAGGCAUUACACACUUAGAGCACCGCGUGCAGAACAAAGCGAUUCAUUUUUGCUGCCCUUGCGCUCGAAGGACUAGGCUGCAGGCUAUCAUCUAGUCUUAGAAAGCGUGGGAUCAUCAGUUUUCUGGGCAAGAAACAAAACUGGUCAAAUCCUGUAAACAGUGCUGUGAAUGUUUAAAUACUGUGGAGUUAUCCUUACAACUCGAAUGAGGUUGUGCUCAGUUCUAUGGAGAAAGUCUCCCACAGGCUGUUUUCCAUGUGCCCUAAGCAUUUGUUUGUAUGCACCAAUGCAUGCAUGAGACUAAAUGGCACGUUGAACAUGAACAGAUUUAAAUUCCAUUUAGUGAACUUGGCCCUGUGUGCAUUACUUUUUUGAAGGUAAUAGACAGACGGAGGGAAACCAGUAAGUGCCUGUAAAUAAAAUCUGAGCUACUUUCCUAUAAAUCUCCUGAAAGAAUAUGCCAAAAAGUAAAUGAGUAUCAGCUGUGACUCUCCUACAUAUAAGGAGACAGGCACACAAUAUUGAAUAGAGGAUUUGUGCUAAGAUUUAAUAUACUCUGUCUUCCAGUAUUCUGAGCACAUCGAGAUAUGGGCUCUGAUUUUGUUGGAAGGUUUUCCAGAUAGAAACAUGGUAUUUUUACUACCUGACUUUAUUUAAAUUUUGCAGAAUACUAACAAGCGUGGUCUUAAUUAUGAAGACUCAGUGUUUAACACAGACACACAUCAGGGAAUUCUCUCCAAGGUAGGCUCACGUAUCUCACCAGCAGCUGUUGUGAGGUGUUGAAAAAAAACAGUCUCAGUCUUAGGAAAACUGAAUACCAAUAUGUGAUUACAAGGGGGCAUUAAAUAAGAGCUGCUGUUUUUUGGUUGCCACUACCUACUCAGUGUUGACAUUCUGUGUUGUAUAUGUAAAGUUCUUGACACAAAGAAUUUAAUAAAAAUCUUUUUGAAAGAGCUGAAGGAUUGAUAAAUAUUGCAGUCGUGCUACCAAAUACGUUCAGCAGGACAGAGGGGGACAAAAGCAAUGCAUCUCAGUAAACAGCAGGCAGAUUUAUCACAGCACUCUGAGAUUCUCUGAAAGUGCUUCUGCUCCACCAGCCACUGCACCUUAUAACUGAUCUCCCUUAACUCUACGCUGCUUACUCCACCGUUCCUCCAUCUUCUGACUCAAUAUCGUUUUGUCCAAAAAUACUGGGAAGUGCAAGGGUAGUGCCCAUGUGUCGACUAGAGUCCAUCACAGUCAGUGAUAAUUAGCUGCUGAUCUCGUCAGGCUUUUGUUUCAGAAUUGCACUGUUUUCCAGAAAGUUUGAAAACACUUUCUAUUAAUUAUACAGUAAAAUGAUGUAGUUUAAUAAAAUUAUUUAGACUGUAGACUCCCAGACAUAGAAAUUUUCUUUCAUAAUAUGAACCUACAAGGUGGCUCUUUGACUGAAUUUUGACUGAAUUCAAAACCCAUUCAAACAGUAACAAUUGGCACUCAGCUUUUAUUACGAAUGGUAAUAAAAGUAUGCCACUUAAUAGAGCCAAGUGCAAGCCUCGGCUGCUUGCAGUGCUGAGCCCGUCACUGACCAGCAGUGGCCCUUUAUUGUUUCAGUUAUUCUAAUUUCUUGAAUGCCUCUGACCAUAUUGCACGAACAGAGUGUGGCUGAAACACAAACAUGCUUCUCUACCCACUCACCUUAGCUGAACUGCAGCUGCUCCCCUCUCCAGCUCAGUGGUGAAUUCAUCACUAUUCCCACUGCCAGGAAAUGGAUCUGCCUCCGACCCACCUCCAGCCUUCUAUUUUUGGGGCAGCCCACUCUAAACCAUGCUGAAUGUGAAAUUGCUAAGGACUGUACAAAAUUAGCCACAGGCAAUGGACUGCUAAGUUCAACCAAAUAAAACACUUAGAAGUCUUGAACUAAAAGUCAUGUAAAUCACCGUUUUUUAAAAUGGUUUCAGAUGAGAGCUUCUGUUAGCGUACUGUUCUUACCAGUUGGCGAAUGCUGUCCAGUGGGAGGUGUCACUGGAGAGAGUCUCAACUUGCUGCAUACUGACAAUACUGGCUCAACGCAAGAAGGUUUUACUUUUGGAUUAAGAAAUCAGAAUAACUGGUUGCAAAAAGUAAAGCCUACUGACGUAAUACAAGAUGUCCUGAGCCUUGAUCUUCACUCUUGCCCUCAGAUAUUCACUUCUGAUCUUAUGACAGAAUAUCUUGGAUUGUGCUGUCAUCCCUCACACAUGUGUUACAAGGUAGAGAUGGCAGUUCAGCUUCUCACUUCUCACCUGGUUUUGCCACAUUUGAAAUGAAGCUGCAGAAGCUGAGCUGCUCCCUGCAUGAUUAUUCAUGUAUUUAAAGCGUACUUUGGAGCUUGGUAAAUUAUACUGACAUAGUGAUCACCCAGUGGCUGGGAGCUCAGCUGUUUACUCCAACAACUUGAAAGAAAGUGUUCUUCUCAGCCAGCUGUCCAUAACCCAACUGGGACCUUCAGCCAAUUCAAAUUCCCAAUUUGAUCCAAUUCCCAGUGAAUUGAUUGAGAUGUCAUCUGCAUAUGCUCAUUAAUAAUUUUUCAUCAAAUUUUCAACAGAUUUUCCCAUCUCAGCUUAAAUGCAUGGGAGUACACUGAGGAGAAGGGUGGCUGCAGCACCAUCAGACCCAGCCAGAGCUGAACAAGAGGGGAAGCACGCAGGGGUGCUUU